rnacentral:rRNA from 1 species
AGUGAACGCUGGCGGUAGGCCUAACACAUGCAAGUCGAACGGCAGCACAGUAAGAGCUUGCUCUUACGGGUGGCGAGUGGCGGACGGGUGAGGAAUACAUCGGAAUCUACUUUUUCGUGGGGGAUAACGUAGGGAAACUUACGCUAAUACCGCAUACGACCUACGGGUGAAAGCAGGGGAUCUUCGGACCUUGCGCGAUUGAAUGAGCCGAUGUCGGAUUAGCUAGUUGGCGGGGUAAAGGCCCACCAAGGCGACGAUCCGUAGCUGGUCUGAGAGGAUGAUCCGCCACACUGGAACUGAGACACGGUCCAGACUCCUACGGGAGGCAGCAGUGGGGAAUAUUGGACAAUGGGCGCAAGCCUGAUCCAGCCAUACCGCGUGGGUGAAGAAGGCCUUCGGGUUGUAAAGCCCUUUUGUUGGGAAAGAAAAGCAGCAGGUUAAUACCCCGCUGUUCUGACGUUACCCAAAGAAUAAGCACCGGCUAACUUCAUG